rnacentral:rRNA from 1 species
UACGUAGGCAGCGAGCGUUGUUCGGAGUUACUGGGCGUAAAGGGUGCGUAGGCGGUUGUUUAAGUUUGGUGUGAAAUCUCCCGGCUCAACUGGGAGGUGCGCCGAAUACUGAAUGACUAGAGUGCGGGAGAGGAGAGUGAAUUCCUGGUGUAGCGGUGAAAUGCGUAGAUAUCAGGAGGAACACCGGUGGUGUAGACGGCUCUCUGGACCGUAACUGACGCUGAGGCACGAAAGCGUGGGUAGCAAACAGG